rnacentral:rRNA from 1 species
AUUGAACGCUGGCGGCAGGCCUAACACAUGCAAGUCGAGCGGAUGAAGGGAGCUUGCUCCUGGAUUCAGCGGCGGACGGGUGAGUAAUGCCUAGGAAUCUGCCUGGUAGUGGGGGAUAACGUCCGGAAACGGGCGCUAAUACCGCAUACGUCCUGAGGGAGAAAGUGGGGGAUCUUCGGACCUCACGCUAUCAGAUGAGCCUAGGUCGGAUUAGCUAGUUGGUGGGGUAAAGGCCUACCAAGGCGACGAUCCGUAACUGGUCUGAGAGGAUGAUCAGUCACACUGGAACUGAGACACGGUCCAGACUCCUACGGGAGGCGGCAGUGGGGAAUAUUGGACAAUGGGCGAAAGCCUGAUCCAGCCAUGCCGCGUGUGUGAAGAAGGUCUUCGGAUUGUAAAGCACUUUAAGUUGGGAGGAAGGGCAGUAAGUUAAUACCUUGCUGUUUUGACGGUACCAGCAGAAUAAGCACCGGCUAACUACGUG